GAAUAUUCCUCAUCUCUCGUGAUGCUGGGCCUUACCCUGCAUCACUGCUGACCUGGAUCUUCUCGGAGGACGUGGCUGGUUGAACUGGGGGCUGAGCUGGUUUCCUGUCAGGGGUCAGAUCGGAAAUGUCCACACUGGAGCUCUUCAAGUUACUCCUAUAAAAAGGUCAGUGUGAACAUCAUAGGUGCUUUGUGGGGCAUUAGUAAAGGUUCGUAUGCGAGGAUAUUCCAACCUUCCAGACCGAGCCUCAUUCAUUCUCCAGCGAUAUGCCUUAAGCGCCUCCUGUCUGCACACACACAAGCAUUUUCAU